AUGAGUGGAAAACUGGAAGAAUCCAUGCAAGAAAACAAAGAUAUGCUCAGGCACCUCUUCACCGGCACCGUCUGUUCCACUCACCUUGAGACGUCCACCCCCCGCCUCCCCCCCAACACCCUACAAAAUGUGGCAUCUAGAAAUGGACUAUGGCUGAGAGAGGGAGAGGAAAAAAAAAAAGCAAUUAGUCAUCGAUUUCAAAGAGAGUAUAUAAUAAAAUGUUUCCCCCCUAAGGUAAACCUGUGGAAUACAAACACGAAUUAACCACCCACACAAAUCCUGUGAAUAAGGCUAGAAGAAUGUACGGCAGCCCACACAACCGCUAUUAAAGAGUGACACACUUAGACACACCGACACAUGUAGAUAUGCCCCUCACCUCCCUGUCACUCUACUCUUAGAGGAGUCAUACAGCAUUUCAAUAUUCAUCAUGUAAAAAGCACAGGCUAUACUCGGGUCCUCAGAACCUUUCACACUUGCAUGAUGGAGUUCUUUCAUAGCGGCGCACUGUGGGGUGAGAUAAAUGUACCCCAAAUCUAUGUGUAAACAUGUACAUGCACUGCCAGAAAUAUCUGUAUGAAAGUAUGAGAUCAAUUUAGUGAGGUUUAUGUUUAACAAGUGACAAAAUGUUCUGAGGAAAAAAUACACAUAUUUAUUCUCUGGAAACUUAUGGCAGUUUUGCUUCUCAGGUAAAUUUAUCUUGUUUUGUAUUUACAGGACAUUUACUGUUUUAUUAUAUUAUAUUAUAUUUUUUCACAUUAUUAAUUGGCUCUCAGGAAUACUUGAUUUUGUUUGACUGAUUGCAUCUUUUAUAAACUCAAAAUGCAUUUUACUUGAAAUUUACCUCUUGUCCCUACAAAUGUUGUAUAAAAGUCUCUUUGUCUACAGCUGAACCACAACAUGAUUGCGCAUAUGAUAUUGCUUUAAAUAUUGUUUUAUAAAAUAAUAGUGUUUUAACAACAAUGAUAAUUAAAUUUUUAUUGACUUUGUUGUUUAUUUUAGGGUAAUACUUUAAUGAAAAAGCUGAAAUUAUGGCAUCGUAUCUUAUGAGCCUGUCAUGUUUCUGUUUGAGGACUCAGUUUGGACACCUACUCAACACCCUCCCGCUCUCUGCUGUUACCCUAGCAACGGCCAUGGUUACUAGGGUGCCUUGUCUCCCAAUGAGCUUUCACUGCAUUUGACUGUUUCUGAAUUGAGAGCAAGAGAGAGAGAGAGAGAGAGAGAAAGUGAGAGGAGAAGCGUUUGUGAAAAAUCCACAUUCAGAAUUUCCCAAUCCCACAUGCAACUUAAACUGCAAUCACAUCAAAACACCAGCAAAGGUUAAACCUCAGAUCACUUUGACCUUUUUUAAAAUCUCAAUGUGUAGGCUCUCACAGGCCUCAAACCUUUGGAAAAAGUACAGAAAUACUUCUUAGAACAGGAUGCUUAAGUAAAGAAUUGGUACAAUUUGUUCUCUAAAUGGACACAAACCCCUUACAUGUAUUCAUAU
ensembl:lncRNA